UCCGGUUCUCAGGGCUCCACC
rnacentral:miRNA from 21 species